rnacentral:rRNA from 1 species
AUCUAACUGAAAACAACUCUCAGCAACGGAUAUCUUGGCUCUUGCAACGAUGAAGAACGCAGCGAAAUGCGAUACGUAGUGUGAAUUGCAGAAUUCCGCGAAUCAUCGAGUCUUUGAACGCAAGUUGCGCCCGAGGCUUGUCCGAGGGCAUUUCCGCUAGAGCGUCACC